AUGAACGCUAGCUACAGGCUUAACACAUGCAAGUCGAGGGGCAUCAGUUUGGUUUGCUUGCAAACCAAAGCUGGCGACCGGCGCACGGGUGAGUAACACGUAUCCAACCUGCCUCAUACUCGGGGAUAGCCUUUCGAAAGAAAGAUUAAUAUCCGAUAGCAUAUAUUUCCCGCAUGGGUUUUAUAUUAAAGAAAUUCGGUAUGAGAUGGGGAUGCGUUCCAUUAGUUUGUUGGGGGGGUAACGGCCCACCAAGACUACGAUGGAUAGGGGUUCUGAGAGGAAGGUCCCCCACAUUGGAACUGAGACACGGUCCAAACUCCUACGGGAGGCAGCAGUGAGGAAUAUUGGUCAAUGGACGCGAGUCUGAACCAGCCAAGUAGCGUGAAGGAUGACUGCCCUAUGGGUUGUAAACUUCUUUUAUAUGGGAAUAAAGUUGUCCACGUGUGGAUUUUUGUAUGUACCAUAUGAAUAAGGAUCGGCUAACUCCGUGCCAGCAGCCGCGGUAAUACGGAGGAUCCGAGCGUUAUCCGGAUUUAUUGGGUUUAAAGGGAGCGUAGGCGGAUUGUUAAGUCAGUUGUGAAAGUUUGCGGCUCAACCGUAAAAUUGCAGUUGAUACUGGCAGUCUUGAGUGCAGUAGAGGUGGGCGGAAUUCGUGGUGUAGCGGUGAAAUGCUUAGAUAUCACGAAGAACUCCGAUUGCGAAGGCAGCUCACUGGAGUGUAACUGACGCUGAUGCUCGAAAGUGUGGGUAUCAAACAGGAUUAGAUACCCUGGUAGUCCACACAGUAAACGAUGAAUACUCGCUGUUUGCGAUAUACAGUAAGUGCCAAAGCGAAAUCAUUAAGUAUUCCACCUGGGGAGUACGCCGGCAACGGUGAAACUCAAAGGAAUUGACGGGGACCCGCACAAGCGGUGGAGCAUGUGGUUUAAUUCGAAGCAACGCGAAGAACCUUACCAGGUCUUGACAUCCCGAUGCUAUUUCUAGAGAUAGAAAGUUACUUCGGUACAUCGGUGACAGGUGGUGCAUGGUUGUCGUCAGCUCGUGCCGUGAGGUGUCGGCUUAAGUGCCAUAACGAGCGCAACCCUUAUCUUCAGUUACUAACAGGUCAUGCUGAGGACUCUGGAGAGACUGCCGUCGUAAGAUGUGAGGAAGGUGGGGAUGACGUCAAAUCAGCACGGCCCUUACGUCCGGGGCUACACACGUGUUACAAUGGGGGGUACAGAAGGCCGCUACCUGGUGACAGGAUGCCAAUCCCAAAAACCUCUCUCAGUUCGGAUCGAAGUCUGCAACCCGACUUCGUGAAGCUGGAUUCGCUAGUAAUCGCGCAUCAGCCAUGGCGCGGUGAAUACGUUCCCGGGCCUUGUACACACCGCCCGUCAAGCCAUGAAAGCCGGGGGUACCUGAAGUACGUAACCGCAAGGAGCGUCCUAGGGUAAAACUGGUAAUUGGGGCU
rnacentral:rRNA from 1 species